GGCGGGGCCCGGAGCGCCAACCGCCCGCCGGAAGGAGCUGGGCUUUCUUUUGCGCGCGGCCGGCGAUGGCGGAGGGUCCUCGAGGCACCGUCGCCGAGCGGGCCCGGCGGCAGCGUCUGCGGGCCAGUCGCUGGGCUCUUCGAGAGCCUGUGACGUGAAGAUGAAUGAAGGUUGUCCUGUUUUCCAGAAACCACUUAGAGGAUGGCCGUGAUAAAACACUAGGAGCGUAACUGCAUGUAAUGAGCAUAUAGGUAGCUGCAGAUGAAUAUUCUCAUCCAUAACUUUUGUGAUUGAAAUUCUUCGUUGCUUCAAAGGCAUGCAAUUGGAAGGAAAAAUGAAGAAUUGGUCAAGAAGAGAUGAAUCGAAACAUGUUGAAAAUUAAUAUUUUAUUUAACAUUGAUCACCUCACAAUAAGUUAUAGAAAAAUACAUGUUUGAAUACUUAUAAUUGCUAGGCAAUAAAGUAUUAAUCUUUAAAAUAUAUCAAAUGUUUAAACA